UGGAGAGCAGAAAUUGCCAGCACCAUCAGUGCACGUGAACCACACACACACAUCAGGAGGAAAAAAAACCACCCUGCAAUGGGAGCCGGUGGGAAAAGCAUGUGGGAUGGUGAGAGGUCUGAGUGCUGCUCAUUCCAGGGGAUCCCCGCCAGCACCUGCAUGUCAUUUGUCUUCUUUUAUUGCCCUUCCUCAGCUUCUGGCAGCGUUGUACUGCAAAGCCUGAUACCCCCUUUGGGAAGAGACAUCCCCCUGUGCUUGGGAAUGUGAUGCUGCAGCCAGAUAGAUAGGGGCUGCAUCUAGAGAUGGGAUGGGAGCCCUUCUCACAGCGUUCACCCCACACUAAUCCCUCAUCCCUAUUUUCCUCCCAGUGUGGAGGAACAAAUCGCUGUGUUUAAUCUCCUUUUCCAACCCAUAGACCACACUGGGGGCUGGGUCCAGGUGAGAGCACUCCUAAUACAGCACCAUGUGCCCACGGUGGAGCAAUAGAGCUGCACAGUCACUGCAAACCGAGGGCAAUGGCACAACGCUGAGGUUGUUCUCAUUGGCACAGGUGCUGUGCAACCACCCCAAAUCCAUCCCUGCACUUUUCCCCCCUGGGCUCCUCAUCUCCACUCCAGAAGAGGAAGGAAGCUGCCUCCCCAGGCUGAACGCUGCUCACUCCCUCCCUCCCGGCUCCUGGCAGCUGAGAGCUGCAGGAAUCCAGAUGAUCCGGGAAGCUUUGCUUGGAAGGAUCUAUGGGGAGAUGGGGGGAGGUGAGAUGCUGAAAGAGGAAGGAUCCGGGUAGGAGAGGUUCGCAGUGGUUCCACUGCUCGGGUUGGAGCUACGCUGGAGAAGGGUCCGGCUGCAGAAUGGGCAAUGGAAUGGAAUGGGAAUGAUGGCAAGAAGCGGCCCAGAUGCCAACAGCAGCAUCACAACAUCCCAGCGCUGCCAGCUCCGAGGGCCCGACGGGUGCGCGCUGCCCUCUGGUGGCACCGGGCUCUGCCAGCAGCUGGGGGGUGAUGGGGGGGAACCGGGGGCUGCAGCACGUCGGGGUUAUCGAGCAGGUUUUUAUUGCACAGAUGUACAAUAAAAUGAAAUGAAAUCACA
rnacentral:lncRNA from 1 species